rnacentral:rRNA from 1 species
UACAGAGAGUGCAAACGUUGUUCGGAAUUACUGGGCUUAAAGCGCACGUAGGCGGUGUCGUAAGUGUUUGGUGAAAUCCCACGGCUCACCCGUGGAACUGCCAGGCAUACUGCGGUACUAGAGUGUGGUAGGGGAGAGCGGAACUCCUGGUGGAGCGGUGAAAUGCGUAGAUAUCAGGAGGAACACCGGUGGCGAAGGCGGCUCUCUGGUCCACAACUGACGCUGAGGUGCGAAAGCUAGGGGAGCAAACGGG